CCUCGUAAUCUUCAUCGUCACUGAUGACGUCAUCAGUGACGUUACCAGUGACGUCACGUAUGACGUCAUUAGUAAAGAUGACGAUGACGUAAU
rnacentral:pre_miRNA from 1 species